rnacentral:rRNA from 1 species
UCCUACGGGGGGCAGCAGUGAGGAAUAUUGGUCAAUGGGCGCGAGCCUGAACCAGCCAAGUCGCGUGAGGGAAGACGGUCCUAUGGAUUGUAAACCUCUUUUGUCGGGGAGCAAAAGACGCCACGCGUGGCGUUCCGAGAGUACCCGAAGAAAAAGCAUCGGCUAACUCCGUGCCAGCAGCCGCGGUAAUACGGAGGAUGCGGGCGUUAUCCGGAUUUAUUGGGUUUAGAGGGUGCGCAGGCGGAAGAUCAAGUCAGCGGUAAAAUUGAGAGGCUCAACCUCUUCGAGCCGUUGAAACUGGUUUU